UCAGAGGGCCAAGAGAUAACCCUCAACUCCCUAUAAAGUUCAGGAGGGCUCUGAACUCUGGACUCUGGGAAAGCCUUGAGCAUGAGGUUGAUCCUGUUAUUGGGUGCCCUGUUUGGGCAUGUCUACUGUCAAGAAACAUUUGUGGGAGACCAAGUUCUUGAGAUCAUCCCAAGUAAUGAAGAGCAAAUUAAAACUCUGGUGCAGUUGGAGGCUGAAGAGCAUCUUCAGCUUGAUUUUUGGAAAUCACCCACCAUCCCCAGGCAGGCAGUCCAUGUCCGAGUUCCUUUUGUCAACAUCCAGGCGGUCAAAGUUUUCCUAGAGUCCCAGGGGAUUGUUUAUUCCAUCAUGCUUGAAGACGUUCAAGUUCUGUUGGAUCAAGAGCGUGAAGAAAUGCUUUUCAACCAGAGAAGAGAGCGCAGUGGUAGCUUCAACUUUGGGGCCUACCAUACCCUGGACGAGAUUUACCAAGAAAUGGAUAACCUCGUGGCUGAGCACCCUGGUCUAGUGAGCAAAGUGAAUAUAGGUUCAUCUUUUGAAAAUCGGCCCCUGAAUGUGCUCAAGUUCAGCACCGGAGGAGACAAGCCAGCCAUCUGGCUAGAUGCGGGCAUCCACGCUCGAGAGUGGGUUACACAAGCUACCGCACUGUGGACAGCAAAUAAGCUUGCUUCUGAUUAUGGAACUGAUCCAUCCAUCACUUCCCUUCUGAAAAACCUGGAUAUCUUCCUGCUGCCUGUCACAAACCCUGAUGGUUAUGUGUUCUCCCAUACCUCUAACCGCAUGUGGCGAAAGACCCGGUCUAAACUGUCUGGAAGCAUCUGUGUUGGUGUGGAUCCUAAUCGGAACUGGGAUGCAAAUUUCGGAGGACCUGGCGCCAGUAGUAACCCUUGCUCCGACUCAUACCGUGGACCCAAGGCCAACUCUGAAGUUGAAGUGCAAGCCAUAGUGGACUUCAUCAAGAGUCACGGCAAAAUCAAAGCUUUCAUUACCCUGCACAGCUACUCCCAGCUUCUCAUGUUCCCCUACGGCUAUAAAUGCACCAAGUCAGACAGCUUUGCUGAGCUGGAUGAGCUGGCCCAAAAGGCUGCCCAGUCUUUGAAGAAACUGCAUGGUACCAGCUACGAAGUGGGGCCGAUCUGUUCCGUCAUCUAACCUGGUCCUUCAUUUAUGCAACUCCUGACUGCAAGCCUGCCAGUGCUGACUUGGGAUCCUGCCUCACCCAACCUGGAGAAGCACUGUCUCUAGGAACUAAGCCCCUGCCUGGUGACUCAGGUUGGCAUGCAGCUCUGGGCUGAGCACCUGCCCUGCAAGCGACAGCCAGCUGCACAUCUUUGACCAAGCCAGUGGUGGAAGUAUCGACUGGGCCUAUGAUUUUGGCAUCAAAUACUCGUUUGCCUUUGAACUGAGAGAUACAGGUGUCUAUGGUUUCCUCCUGCCAGCCAAGCAGAUCUUGCCCACAGCAGAAGAGACCUG